GUUAAGAAACUACUAAACAUAAAGAUUUAAGUUUGUCGAUAAUAAUCGAUAGAUUCUCAAUUAAACUGAAAAUAACAGUGUUAUCGCGUAAUUUUGAUUCUUCAACUGACUCGUUAUGUUGUACCUCAAUUCCCUCUUAAGCUUGGAAAAUGGACAGGAAUCCGGAAAGCUUCGGAUAAUUAUUCUUCAAUCGGACUUCUUUGGAUCUGCUGUCUGGUAAUUGCCCUCGGAAAAUCUUAAUUCGACGUUAAUUUUGGAUUGAAAUUAUCGGAGAACCAAUUUAAGCCGUCCAUUGGAGGUUUCAAGAUUCUCACAAAAGAAGUUUGAAAUUUACAAAUUUAAAAUCCAAUUUUCAAGAUCAAAAUUAUUCAAAAUGUUCCGGAAUCUAAUAAAUUAGAUGUAAGUGACACUUAUCUUUCCGUUUUGGAUGGUUUAGAAAGGAUAUUAACAGUUUUAAGAGAAUUAUGAGCAACUAAAAAUUAACUGUCAACUGAAUUGAGGUUAUGUUUCUCUCUAAGGUAAAACCUGUCUCGGAAG